rnacentral:rRNA from 1 species
AUUGAACGCUGGCGGCAGGCCUAACACAUGCAAGUCGAGCGGAUGAAGGGAGCUUGCUCCUGGAUUCAGCGGCGGACGGGUGAGUAAUGCCUAGGAAUCUGCCUGGUAGUGGGGGAUAACGUCCGGAAACGGGCGCUAAUACCGCAUACGUCCAGAGGGAGAAAGAGGGGGAUCUUCGGACCUCACGCUAUCAGAUGAGCCUAGGUCGGAUUAGCUAGUUGGUGGGGUAAAGGCCUACCAAGGCGACGAUCCGUAACUGGUCUGAGAGGAUGAUCAGUCACACUGGAACUGAGACACGGUCCAGACUCCUACGGGAGGCAGCAGUGGGGAAUAUUGGACAAAGGGCGAAAGCCUGAUCCAGCCAUGCCGCGUGUGUGAAGAAGGUCUUCGGAUUGUAAAGCACUUUAAGUUGGGAGGAAGGGCAGUAAGUUAAUACCUUGCUGUUUUGACGUUACCAACAGAAUAAGCACCGGCUAACUUCGUG